rnacentral:rRNA from 1 species
GUAGGUGGCAAGCGUUGUCCGGAAUUAUUGGGCGUAAAGCGCGCGCAGGCGGUUCUUUAAGUCUGAUGUGAAAGCCCACGGCUCAACCGUGGAGGGUCAUUGGAAACUGGAGAACUUGAGUACAGAAGAGGAAAGCGGAAUUCCACGUGUAGCGGUGAAAUGCGUAGAGAUGUGGAGGAACACCAGUGGCGAAGGCGGCUUUCUGGUCUGUAACUGACGCUGAGGCGCGAAAGCGUGGGGAGCAAACAGGAUUAGAUACCCUGGUAGUCCACGCCGUAAACGAUGAGUGCUAAGUGUUAGGGGGGUUUUCGCCCCCCUUAGUGCUGCAGCUAACGCAUUGAGCACUCCGCCUGGGAGUACGGCCGCAAGGCUG